UUUAGUUCACCUCUUUCUAUUUUCAUCCUAUUCAAAACUAUGGCCAAAGGUUCCAAGAUGUUCACACUUGGCAGUAGAAAGAGCUCUCGCAAUAAAGAAAGGGAAAGUCUCUUCCCUUAUCCCUCUUGACUCAGACUUCUAUGAUCCUAUCUUUCCUCAAGUAUCUUCUAAUUUGACCCAAUUUGGCAUGCAUCUCUUCAUUCGCGAUGACUUUUAUAGUUCUAAGAAUAAAGUGAAGUUCGAUAUCAAUAACCCUCUAAAUGUGAAAAUUAAUUUUUGGAGACCUUUGAACGAAUUUCUAUUUCACUCUAUGAAGAGGUUAUCUCUUCUUCAUGGCAAAAUAGUCAAUUUAGACUUCUUGAAUUCUUGCAUUGUACCUUAAAAAUCCUAUUUGAAUACCAGGAUGGUUAUAGGAUGGUUAUCUCUUGUGCUUUCUUCUUUUUUGAUUGAUAACAAAGGGGGAGAAUAAGGUAAUAGGCGACAACGUAACAUUCAACUAUCUCACUUGCUUAAAUAUUGUCAUCGAUCAAAAAGGGAGAGAUUGAUAGUGUUGAGAAUUUUAACAAUGAUAUUCUGAUUCAUUUGCAGGAAUAGGGGAAAAGAGAAAUCGUCAACACUCUAAAAAAGGAAUAAAAUGAACCUCUAUAGAUUGAGUAAGGAUACUGUACAAAUAUAUCAAAGGCCUUGAACAUUCAUAAAGGAAGAAAAGCAUCUAUGAAGAUAUUACAACAUGUUGUAAUAACUCUUGGGCUAUGUCUAAAUAUAUCAAGAAGUAUAUUAUGAAAAUAUCCUCUAUCUCUAAAUAGGUUGAAGAGAAUCUCCAUAGAAGUACCAUCAAAAGGCAUGCCAUUCCAAGAAAGGAGAAAGGAUCUGGUGCAUUAAUCAGGGUGCUUAAAUCACGAAAUUAGUCGUCUCUCCAUGUAUAUACAAUAUCUUAGAUUAGUUUUUUCUUUAUAGUCCUUGCUUAUCUUUGGAAAUUGAAUAUUUAUUAUUCAACUUCCUACAGAGAAAAAUCCUUUGGGCCGUCUUGUAACUUCCAAUGGCUAGUAGUAGUCCAAUCAUCAUUAUAUAAGCAUUGAAAGUCAGAGGAAGAGAAAUACUCUUAUCUCAACCUUCUCUAGUUCUUUGCACUGCUUUAUUUAAGUAUUGUAUUCUUUUUAAAGGUUUAUUGUGUCAUUAAAAAGAGAAGAGAAACACAUUGUAGGUGAAACCUUGUAUCAAAGUGUGAAAGAAAAGAAUAGAGAAUGAGUCCAAGCCAAAUAACAUGACUCAAUCCUGUAUUUAGAUAUUAUUUGCAACAUAAUUAGUAGAAUUCCUUGCAACCCAAGGGGACUGGAUAACAACUAUUAUGGGCCCAAUUAGUAUAAAGUAUCUUCUGUUAAUUACUUUUAGUAGUUUAAAUUCUGAAGUUCUCGCAUUCAUCAGUCGACUGUCUGUUGUUGAAAGUCGACUGCGCGGUCGAAAAAGAGUAAUCUCCCCCUCCCCCCAACUGUUUUCAAGGGUUAAUCAUACUGUUUAAAUAUUUGUUUUGUAGUUUCUUCUCUAUUGAUAUGUGCUAUUUUUAAUCUAUAAUAUAUUAAAAGUGUGAAGAUCCUUAGAAAAGUGAAUUGAAUUUUUUAUCCUUCAUUAAAAGAUUCUUCUUUAAACAAAAUCGUCUUUUCAUAUUUUUUCAUCCAACUAAAUUUCUAAAAAUAAUAAUUAUUCAAAUUGAAAAGAAAAAAGCAAUCGAUACUUUCUGGGGUUUUCCAAAAUUUGUGUCCUAUUUAGUUUAUAACUCCUAAAAUAUAAAAUAUUUAACACUUCUAAAUCAAUUAUAAUUUUACCUUAACUAAAAAAAAACUUCUACCAUGAGUUCUAUUUAAGUAAAAUUUUCUGUGUUUCAUCGAUGCCCACCAAUAAAUUCGUGCUUUUUUUCCUUCCCUUUUCCUUGAGUUAAAAUAUAUAUAUGUUUUGCAAGUAGAAAAGUUCUCUGGAAGCAAAGAAGCACCGCAAGAAAGCAAC
rnacentral:lncRNA from 1 species